AGUUCAGGUGCCGUUUAGUACAACGUGUCCGGUAGAGAAGGACCGGAGUUACAGAAAUAAAGAUAUUGGAUAUUAAAGAAAAGGAUAAUAUGGAGUAAGACGUAUAUGUUUGAGGAUUAGAAUAAGAAAAUAAGGAAAAAUAUCAAGAAAAGUCACAAACUUUAGAUCAGGGACUAAAGUGGUAAUUUAACCAGUUAAGUCCGAAAUUGGAAUUAUUUCGCCAAGGUCCGCGAAAUGUUUUAUAGUAUUGGUGGUAAAAGUUUCAGGUCAAUCGGAGACCUUUUAAAAUUUGGACGCGGAUUCAUUUUGGGCUAAAUUGUCAAUUUUGAAGAAUUCAAGGAUCAAAGUACAAAUUAGCCAAUUUAGCCUCGAGAAUAGUAAUUGGAAAAUUAUCGACGAGAAUAAUUAUAUUUGGAGUAGUAUUGUUUAUUUGGAUAUAAAUAAUACGUAGAUAAUCGAGUUAAAAGGAUAAUUUAACCGUUUGGUUAAAUUAGAAAGUUUAAAAGAGAAAUGGUUUAAGUUAAAGAGAUGAAGGAUCAAAAUGGACAAUUAGCCAAGAUAUAUAUGAUAACUUUCCUUAAGAGUAAGGAAAGGAAGUGAUGAUCAGAGGAAGCGAAAGUUACAGAAGCUUUCGACGAUCGAUUACGAUCCGUCGCCGUUUCGCCGUUUCUCGUCCAAAUCGCGCGUUCUUUAUAUCGAUUUGUUCGGAAUUGGAAGCUCUAUCAAUCAUAAGCUUCAUUUCAAGGUAAGAUUUUGGAUUUGAGUGUUAAAAUCGGAGGUUACGGGCUGUUUCGACGAAAAAUGCUAUGUUUGAAUCGAAACGCUAAAAACACGUCGUUUUCCACCAUUUUCGUAUAGAUUCUUGAUAAGUUUUGAGCCUAGAUGAUUUAGGUAUGCAUUGGUAUGAAUUUUGGGGUAUUUGGAGCUUCGGAAAUGGUCCAGAAGCAUCAAAAAACGCUGCCCCCAAAGUGCGCACGACGUGCUGCACUUCAGCACGUCGUGCUGGUGCGCGACGUGCACCAGAAGGGUGCACGACGUGCACCACAAGGGUGCACGACGUGCACCAGUGAAGGGCACGUCGUGCCCUUCAUGAAAAAUGAAGGGCACGAGGUGCCAAGCUAGCACGACGUGCCCUACUUCGAUCGUGACCUCCGGGGGACUUCCGGGAGCGAAAAUUGGCCUCUGAUGGCAUGAUAUGGGCGUAGAACUCUGACAAAUGUCUUAAAAUGAAUAUUAAUAAGACAUUAUAGCAAUGAACAUUAACAUGAUGAGUAAUAGAGAUAUGAAUAGAGAUCUAUAGAGAAAGAUACGUUUAGAACACGACGAUUAUAUUUCGUGCUUUUGUCGUGUUAGGUACCUAGUGCAGUUUUUAAGAACAAGAUUCUCUAAGUAUAUAUUUUAACGAUAGAAUCCUGUGAUAGAUGUGACGGACUAUCGAUCUACGAGUAUGACGAACCAAGAAGCUCGACGAGGAUUGACGGACCAGUCUCCUGGAGCUUACGUUUGGAUAUAAGGAAUAGCGAUCGUUGUGUUUAGAGUCGGAUCAGACAGACCGUCUUUGGUGUGCUGAGUACGAGUCCCCUUGGUGCUGCAGUAGUAUACGUAUGACGAGUCUUAGCAUAGAAUAGUCAGGUCUUAUAGGUUGUGUACAUAUUUAAUGUUUGUUUGAUGUGACGUCUUUUGGUUGUCAGUUUUGUAUUGAUCGAUAGACGGGCUAGUACGUACAAGUUACGGAAGUGAGAUGCCCACUAUGGUUGUAUCGAUGAUGUGAUAUAUAUGAUGUACGUUAUGAUUGUAAACGUGUCUUCUUAUUACAUGUUUAUAGGAUAGUUGUGUUUGCGUUUCCGCGAAAAAGUUAGAAUGGUUUUAGGCUUGCUACGGGUUUCGGAGCUACCACUCCCAUUCCCUAGCGCCGGUCUCGGCUCAAUAAUUUGGGUCGUGACAAAGUUGGUAUCAGAGCAGUUGGUCCAGUUACCUCUGCUAAUAUAUGAUUUGAGUGCAGUUAGUCCAUGAUACCACUGCGAGUCUGUGAUUGAUGUUUGUUUGUUCCUAGGUAUUAGGUCAUUAGACUAAGCUAGGAACUACUGCAGCUAUAGAAUUGAGCCAUGUCUGAUCCAAGUCGUUUGUAUUAUUUGUUUUAAGAUCGAGCUGAUUGAUUGUGAAUUUUUGAUUGAUUGAGAAUUCUUGUUUGUUUCAUUAUGAUAAGUAUGAUCGAUAGAUUGUGAAACCUUUGUUUGUUUCUUUGCGAAAUACGUAUACGAUGUAUAGAUGGUAUCGAAAUCGAAUUAUCGAAAUGUCGAGAUGUGCAAGAGGAAGGAGUAUGAAGUUACAGAAGUGGAAGAACCUACCGUGUACAGAGUUUAAAUGUCUAGAGAACUUACAAAACUCGAAGUUUAAAACUUUUUGAAAGUUGUUUGUUUAAACAAUUUGGAAAACAUAAUUGUGCCUAGACCCGCGACAGUCAUCGAUAAGUGCCACGACAUUGAUAGAAGUGCAUCACUACAUAUAUCUGUACAUACAUCGAUAGGACAUGCAUCAUAUGCAUUAUGUUCGGACGAAAAGGUGAGAUGUGGCAACUCUUUGGGGAUGAGAGACGUCAUCACCCUAGUGCACAAUUUUGUUAAAAUGAAAAUGAAAUUUGAUUUAAAGUUCAAGAUGAAUCGUUUUAUCGAAAGAGUUUUGAAAGAGUUUUGUUUUCAUGUAAGUAUACCUAGACCAGAACUCUGUAACGGAAGUGAAGUGCUCGCGAGCAAGCUGCGAUCAAGACCAAGAGGCGAAUGAAUACGUAUAGUUGCGAAAACAUAGACGUUAUGCUUCUAGGAUAUGAACUUAGUUUCAAGUUAACGAGCUAGUAUAUAGUUAAGAUCGUGAAUACGUUGGACAGUGAUAUGUACCCGAUUAGUGAUGUGUUAGAAAGUAAGUAUCUCUUUGACGGGAUGUCAAGGAUCUUAAACAAGGAUAUAAGAGAAGAAGUGGAUAUGAAGGAUGAAGUUUGUAUAAGAGAAGUGAAUGAUAGAUGUACGUGAAUAGCGGAAUGAAAAUGAUUGGACGGUGAACUAGGACGUUCAUAUUGUAUGAUAGGAGUAUGAAAAGAGGAUAGUUGAGUAUAGGAAUCGAUUUAUAGUUUAUACUUUGAAGAUAGAAGAUUGCCCUUAUGAUAAGAUGAGGUGGAUAUUGUGUGAUAUUAGAAAGACGUCGGAUUUAAUAAGGAUAUCGACGAUGGAUGUACAAGGAUAGGAGCGACGAGUCAAGAAAGCGUGUGAUGGAAUACAAAGUAUAUAGUAUUGAAUGUUAAACAAGGAACAAAUGAAAAGGGUCAAGGGUUUAAGAUAAGUAAAAAGGUUGUAUGAAAAUUCGAGGACGAAUUUUUAUAAGGGGGGAAGAAUGUAAUACCCCGUAAGUUCAGGUGCCGUUUAGUACAACGUGUCCGGUAGAGAAGGACCGGAGUUACAGAAAUAAAGAUAUUGGAUAUUAAAGAAAAGGAUAAUAUGGAGUAAGACGUAUAUGUUUGAGGAUUAGAAUAAGAAAAUAAGGAAAAAUAUCAAGAAAAGUCACAAACUUUAGAUCAGGGACUAAAGUGGUAAUUUAACCAGUUAAGUCCGAAAUUGGAAUUAUUUCGCCAAGGUCCGCGAAAUGUUUUAUAGUAUUGGUGGUAAAAGUUUCAGGUCAAUCGGAGACCUUUUAAAAUUUGGACGCGGAUUCAUUUUGGGCUAAAUUGUCAAUUUUGAAGAAUUCAAGGAUCAAAGUACAAAUUAGCCAAUUUAGCCUCGAGAAUAGUAAUUGGAAAAUUAUCGACGAGAAUAAUUAUAUUUGGAGUAGUAUUGUUUAUUUGGAUAUAAAUAAUACGUAGAUAAUCGAGUUAAAAGGAUAAUUUAACCGUUUGGUUAAAUUAGAAAGUUUAAAAGAGAAAUGGUUUAAGUUAAAGAGAUGAAGGAUCAAAAUGGACAAUUAGCCAAGAUAUAUAUGAUAACUUUCCUUAAGAGUAAGGAAAGGAAGUGAUGAUCAGAGGAAGCGAAAGUUACAGAAGCUUUCGACGAUCGAUUACGAUCCGUCGCCGUUUCGCCGUUUCUCGUCCAAAUCGCGCGUUCUUUAUAUCGAUUUGUUCGGAAUUGGAAGCUCUAUCAAUCAUAAGCUUCAUUUCAAGGUAAGAUUUUGGAUUUGAGUGUUAAAAUCGGAGGUUACGGGCUGUUUCGACGAAAAAUGCUAUGUUUGAAUCGAAACGCUAAAAACACGUCGUUUUCCACCAUUUUCGUAUAGAUUCUUGAUAAGUUUUGAGCCUAGAUGAUUUAGGUAUGCAUUGGUAUGAAUUUUGGGGUAUUUGGAGCUUCGGAAAUGGUCCAGAAGCAUCAAAAAACGCUGCCCCCAAAGUGCGCACGACGUGCUGCACUUCAGCACGUCGUGCUGGUGCGCGACGUGCACCAGAAGGGUGCACGACGUGCACCACAAGGGUGCACGACGUGCACCAGUGAAGGGCACGUCGUGCCCUUCAUGAAAAAUGAAGGGCACGAGGUGCCAAGCUAGCACGACGUGCCCUACUUCGAUCGUGACCUCCGGGGGACUUCCGGGAGCGAAAAUUGGCCUCUGAUGGCAUGAUAUGGGCGUAGAACUCUGACAAAUGUCUUAAAAUGAAUAUUAAUAAGACAUUAUAGCAAUGAACAUUAACAUGAUGAGUAAUAGAGAUAUGAAUAGAGAUCUAUAGAGAAAGAUACGUUUAGAACACGACGAUUAUAUUUCGUGCUUUUGUCGUGUUAGGUACCUAGUGCAGUUUUUAAGAACAAGAUUCUCUAAGUAUAUAUUUUAACGAUAGAAUCCUGUGAUAGAUGUGACGGACUAUCGAUCUACGAGUAUGACGAACCAAGAAGCUCGACGAGGAUUGACGGACCAGUCUCCUGGAGCUUACGUUUGGAUAUAAGGAAUAGCGAUCGUUGUGUUUAGAGUCGGAUCAGACAGACCGUCUUUGGUGUGCUGAGUACGAGUCCCCUUGGUGCUGCAGUAGUAUACGUAUGACGAGUCUUAGCAUAGAAUAGUCAGGUCUUAUAGGUUGUGUACAUAUUUAAUGUUUGUUUGAUGUGACGUCUUUUGGUUGUCAGUUUUGUAUUGAUCGAUAGACGGGCUAGUACGUACAAGUUACGGAAGUGAGAUGCCCACUAUGGUUGUAUCGAUGAUGUGAUAUAUAUGAUGUACGUUAUGAUUGUAAACGUGUCUUCUUAUUACAUGUUUAUAGGAUAGUUGUGUUUGCGUUUCCGCGAAAAAGUUAGAAUGGUUUUAGGCUUGCUACGGGUUUCGGAGCUACCACUCCCAUUCCCUAGCGCCGG